rnacentral:rRNA from 1 species
CUACGGGUGGCUGCAGUGGGGAAUAUUGCACAAUGGGGGGAAACCCUGAUGCAGCGACGCCGCGUGCGGGAAGAAGGCCUUCGGGUUGUAAACCGCUUUCAAUUGGGAAGAAGAGAAGAGUAUUAAUACUGCUCUGAUUUGACGGUACCCUUAGAAGAAGCACCGGCUAAUUUCGUGCCAGCAGCCGCGGUAAUACGAAAGGUGCAAGCGUUGUUCGGAUUUACUGGGCGUAAAGCGAGUGUAGGUGGUUUGUUAAGUCGGAUGUGAAAUCCCGGGGCUCAACCUCGGAACUGCAUUCGAUACUGGCAGACUAGAGUUCGGGAGGGGUAAGCGGAAUUCCGUGUGUAGCAGUGAAAUGCGUAGAUGUACGGAGGAACACCUGAGGCGAAGGCGGCUUACUGGACCGAUACUGACACUGAGACUCGAAAGCGUGGGUAGCAAACAGGAUUAGAUACCCCGGUAGUC